GUGGAUUAGAUACCCUGGUAGUCCAUGCCGUAAACGGUGGGCGCUAGGUGUAGGGGGCUUCCACGUCUUCUGUGCCGUAGCUAACGCAUUAAGCGCCCCGCCUGGGGAGUACGGCCGCAAGGCUAAAACUCAAAGGAAUUGACGGGGGCCCGCACAAGCGGCGGAGCAUGUGGAUUAAUUCGAUGCAACGCGAAGAACCUUACCUGGGCUUGACAUACACCAGAUUGCUGCAGAGAUGUAGUGUCCCUUGUGGUUGGUGUACAGGUGGUGCAUGGCCGUCGCCAACU
rnacentral:rRNA from 1 species